rnacentral:rRNA from 1 species
UAGGGAAUCUUCCGCAAUGGGCGAAAGCCUGACGGAGCAACGCCGCGUGAGUGAUGAAGGUCUUCGGAUCGUAAAACUCUGUUAUUAGGGAAGAACAAAUGUGUAAGUAACUAUGCACGUCUUGACGGUACCUAAUCAGAAAGCCACGGCUAACUACGUGCCAGCAGCCGCGGUAAUACGUAGGUGGCAAGCGUUAUCCGGAAUUAUUGGGCGUAAAGCGCGCGUAGGCGGUUUUUUAAGUCUGAUGUGAAAGCCCACGGCUCAACCGUGGAGGGUCAUUGGAAACUGGAAAACUUGAGUGCAGAAGAGGAAAGUGGAAUUCCAUGUGUAGCAGUGAAAUGCGCAGAGAUAUGGAGGAACACCAGUGGCGAAGGCGACUUUCUGGUCUGUAACUGACGCUGAUUUGCGAAAGCGUGGGGAUCAAACAGG